rnacentral:rRNA from 1 species
AAAAUGCCUGUACCAUAACCGACACAGGUGGGUAGGUAGAGUAUACUAAGGGGCGCGAGAUAACUCUCUCUAAGGAACUCGGCAAAAUGACUCCGUAACUUCGGGAUAAGGAGUGCCUUAUUCUAUAAGGUUGCAAUAACAAGAUCCAAGCAACUGUUUAUCAAAAACACAGGUCUCCGCUAAGUCGUAAGACGAAGUAUGGGGGCUGACGCCUGCCCAGUGCCAGAAGGUUAAAGAAGUUGGUUAGUGUAAACGAAGCUGAUAACUGAAGCCCUGGUGAACGGCGGCCGUAACUAUAACGGUCCUAAGGUAGCGAAAUUCCUUGUCGGGUAAGUUCCGACCCGCACGAAAGGCGUAAUGAUUUGGAUACUGUCUCGGAGAGAGGCUCGGUGAAAUAGACUUGUCUGUGAAGAUGCGGACUACCUGCACCAGGACAGAAAGACCCUAUGAAGCUUUACUGUAACUUGAAAUUGGAAUUGGACUUUAUUCGCGCAGCAUAGGUGGGAGACAUUGAAGAUAUUCUUGCGGGAGUAUCGGAGUCAUUAGUGAGAUACCACUCUUGUAAUGUUAGAUUUCUAACUUUGAACCAUUAUCUGGUCAAAGAACAGUUUCAGGCGGGCAGUUUGACUGGGGCGGUCGCCUCCCAAAUGGUAACGGAGGCGUACAAAGGUUUCCUCUGAACGGGUAGAAAUCGUAUCUAGAGUGUAAAGGCAUAAGGAAGCUUGACUGUGAGACCUACAAGUCGAGCAGGGACGAAAGUCGGUCUUAGUGAUCUGACGGUACUGAGUGGAAAGGCCGUCACUCAACGGAUAAAAGUUACUCUAGGAUAACAGGCUGAUCUCCCCCAAGAGUUCACAUCGACGGGGAGGUUUGGCACCUCGAUGUCGGCUCAUCGCAUCCUGGGGCGGUAGUACGUCCCAAGGGUUGGGCUGUUCGCCCAUGAAAGCGGUACGCGAGCUGGGUUCAGAACGUCGUGAGACAGUUCGGUCCAUAUCCGGUGUAGGCGUUAGAAUAUUGAGAGGAGCCUUCUUUAGUACGAGAGGACCGAGAAGGACAUACCGCUGGUGUACCAGUUAUCGUGCCAACGGUAAACGCUGGGUAGCUAUGUAUGGAGUGGAUAACCGCUGAAAGCAUCUAAGUGGGAAGCCCACCUCAAGAUGAGUAUUCUCAUCACGUUAGUGAGUAAGGUCACGGUAAGACUAACCGUUUGAUAGGCAUUAAGUGUAAAUACAGUAAUGUAUGUGCUAAGAUGUCCUAACAGACCGAGGACUUG